AGAAGCCAGAGCUAAUUGAGAUGUUACUGAUCACCACCAACCCCUAUGACUAUCUGUACGUGAGUCAAGGUGAAAUCACAGUUCCCAGCAUUAAUGACCAGGAGGAGCUGAUGGCCACCGACAGCGCCAUUGACAUCCUGGGUUUCACUGCUGAUG